CCCUUAGACGUUCUGGGCCGCACGCGCGCUACACUGACGGAGCCAGCGAGUAUAAACCUUGGCCGAGAGGUCUGGGAAAUCUUGUGAAACUCCGUCGUGCUGGGGAUAGAGCAUUGUAAUUAUUGCUCUUCAACGAGGAAUUCCUAGUAAGCGCAAGUCAUCAGCUUGCGUUGAUUACGUCCCUGCCCUUUGUACGCACCGCCCGUCGCUACUACCGAUUGAAUGGCUUAGUGAGGCUUCCGGAUUGGUUUAGAGAAGGGGGCAACUCCAUCUUGGAACCGAGAAGCUAGUCAAACUUGGUCAUUUAGAGGAAGUAAAAGUCGUAACA
rnacentral:rRNA from 1 species